rnacentral:rRNA from 1 species
GACAGAGGGUGCAAACGUUGUUCGGAAUUACUGGGCGUAAAGGGCGCGUAGGCGGCGACCCAAGUCAGAUGUGAAAGUCCUGGGCUUAACCUGGGGACUGCAUUUGAUACUGGGUUGCUUGAAUUCGGGAGAGGAUAGCGGAAUUCCCAGUGUAGAGGUGAAAUUCGUAGAUAUUGGGAAGAACACCGGUGGCGAAGGCGGCUAUCUGGACCGACAUUGACGCUGAGGCGCGAAAGCGUGGGGAGCAAACAGG